AACGAACGCUGGCGGCAGGCCUAACACAUGCAAGUCGAGCGAAGCCUUCGGGCUUAGCGGCGGACGGGUGAGUAACGCGUGGGAACGUGCCCUUUGGUACGGAAUAGCCCCGGGAAACUGGGAGUAAUACCGUAUGUGCCCUUCGGGGGAAAGAUUUAUCGCCAAAGGAUCGGCCCGCGUUGGAUUAGGUAGUUGGUGGGGUAAUGGCCUACCAAGCCGACGAUCCAUAGCUGGUUUGAGAGGAUGAUCAGCCACACUGGGACUGAGACACGGCCCAGACUCCUACGGGAGGCAGCAGUGGGGAAUCUUAGACAAUGGGGGAAACCCUGAUCUAGCCAUGCCGCGUGAUCGAUGAAGGCCUUAGGGUUGUAAAGAUCUUUCAGUGGGGAAGAUAAUGACUGUACCCACAGAAGAAGCCCCGGCUAACUCCGUGCCAGCAGCCGCCGCGGUAA
rnacentral:rRNA from 1 species